GCGGUCGUGGCGGAAUUGGUAGACGCGCAGCGUUGAGGUCGCUGUGGGGCGACCCGUGGAAGUUCGAGUCUUCUCGACCGCACCA
rnacentral:tRNA from 1 species